AUGGUAGUAGUAUAAUGGUAUCAUGUUACACUUUUACUUAGUAUGAUGUCUAGGCUGUGGGUUCAAUUCCUACUUGGUACA